rnacentral:lncRNA from 1 species
AUUCUGGAGCUGUUAGGCUGAUGGCUCUGGCUGAAGGUCUCUCAGGGAGAGUCAAGGCAUGAGGCAGGCCUGCCAGCAACUGAAGUCCCAUGGACUGUGCUUCCUCAAGACUCACACCUUCCACAGCUGAGCUGGGAUUAACUUGCUGCAACCUGGGAGCCACAGGACCCACAGAGUGAAGACUCUGCUGGCAUUAGGGGACCCACAGAGCUUGCUGUGACACCAGCUGUGAACACAUCCAGGCUUCAUUACAGGACUAGAAACACCUUCUGCCUUACAGAGUUGCCACUAAGCAAGAGAACAGUGAUGGCAGCUAGGUCUUAUUUUUGGAGAAACAGCAGUUCCUCCAUGACUGUGCCAGUGAUCCUGACUCCAACCCCUGUUGAGUGACCCCUGGGUCCAUUCAGAACUUCUCUUCUUGGAACCUGCAUUUCAGACCUGAGCAGCGCAGGGUCUGGCCACGCUGAGGCCAGGCUCCUUCA